UACGUAGGUGGCAAGCGUUGUCCGGAUUUACUGGGCGUAAAGAGCGCGCAGGCGGUCGUUCAAGUCGCGUGUGAAAUCCCCCGGCUCAACUGGGGAACUGCACAGGAGACUGCUUGGCUUGAGUUCGGGAGAGGGAAGCGGAAUUCCUGGUGUAGCGGUGAAAUGCGCAGAUAUCAGGAAGAACACCGAUGGCGAAGGCAGUUCUCUGGGACGGUACUGACGCUGAGACGCGAAAGCGUGGGGAGCGAACAGG
rnacentral:rRNA from 1 species